GGGGACCAUGGCUGAUAGUGGAGACAGUGAGUGGCGUCAGCCAUGGCUGGCAGUGAGGAGGCUGGGUCGGGAAGGAGGUAGUUAUUGCUGGAAUAUUUUUUUAUUAUUUUUAAUUUCAUAAGUAUUGGCUAAGAAUGUGCAAAUGGUGAGUGAGUUUUAGGUUGAUACAAUUAUGGUGUCGUGGACUUAUUAGAAUUCAUUAGAUUAAUUUAAUGGUUAGUAUUUGUUUAAAAAGGUGUGUGUGAUAGUGUAUUAGGGUGUACCAGGG
rnacentral:lncRNA from 1 species